AUCUACGACCAAAUCGCGUUGAAAGUGCCCGACAUUGUCAGAUGUCAAAGGAAGCUAAGCUAAGUUUGAGCCUGGUUUGUCCGUGGAUGGGAGACCGCCUGGGUAUGCCAGUUACUCCUAGGCC
rnacentral:rRNA from 1 species